UUUUUUUAUAUUCUUUUAUAGAGAAAUUUCAUUAAUGAGAUCAUACAAUUCGUAAAGAAAAAUAACAAAUGUCUGUUGUAUGCGUUGAAAGACAAAUUCUAUUAAUACAAUAAAAGCUUCAACUUUAGCAUCAGUAGAAUAUUAUGGCACGUUAACAAUUGUUUCUGUCACAAUUUAAACACAACAUAUCAAAAGUGUUUACAACUACUUGAUACAAUAAGAAAAUCAAUCUCGGAUGGUAUAAAAUAUUAAACAUAAAUCGACAAAAGAAUAAAACAUCCGUCAAACUAAAGAGAGCGGUAACAAAAUCAACUCUAAAAUUACUUGCAAAAGUAAAAUUAUAUACAUAAACUCUAAAAUGUGUAUUACAAAAGUAAAUAAAAACUUUUAAAAGUAAGACUUAUUAAGCGAAUUUGAACUUAAAAAUUGCUUAAGCAAAGAGUGCUCAAACUAAUUUUUUGAACCUGAUCUUAAUUACCGUCAAUUUUAAGAGAGAAAACCUUGUCUUUAACGUGAGAAAAAACACUCAUAUAUCUUGGCUGAAAAAAAAAUGCAAAUUUGAACUUAAAAAUUGUAUUUGUAGUUUUAAUUUAAGUAUUGCUUCGUUGGGUUCCCUAAAUUAUCUCCUAGUACCUUGAUAAAAAAAAUUUAAUCAGCGCCCAAUGAAGAUAUUUGUGUAAUUAAUGUAUUAUUUUAUAAUUUGGUAAAACGUAAAAAUAAUAUUUCAAAUUUUUCAGAAAAUUUUUCAGUUGUCUGUAAACAUUCUUGAAAUUCAAAAGGAAAACCAAUUACCAUCUAACUUCUCAGAAAAUCAUAAAAUAUUUAAGAAAUUUCUCAUUUUUGGGAAAACUAACAAUCACCAAAUAGAACAUAAGAAAGUUUGAAACUAAUUAAAAAUGAAUACCUGGAAAUUACUUUCGGCUUUAUUUAGAUAUUUGUUUAUCUAAAGAGUAAUUAAAAAAAUAUAUUAUAUAUGUUUAUAAUUAAAAUUUUAAAUGGGGUUUGAUGCUCCAGAUCCGAUCACCUCCGCCAUCUGAAAUCAAAUUGAGCAGAAACUACAAUGAACUUACCAAAUUCAAGGUGGACCCGUCACUCCAGGGAAGAGAUCCGAUAUUUUGUUGAAUACAUCCAUAACCUGAAGCCAAUGAAAAAAAGUCUCGUCAUUCAAGUUACCAACAAUAGAAGGGUAUCAAGAAAUUAACUAUCAAGACGACCUCUGCUGCGAUCAAGAGCCAAAACACGGGAGCAAAGUUCAAACGAGGAUAUGACAAACCACAGAUAGAAUUUUAAUAAGCAUUUAUCAAACGCAAGCGUUUAGUUUUUGGAUAAAUUAAUGUAGCCAUAUACAUGCUGAACAUAUAAUAAGUUCGAAAGAGAGGUAAAGGUGAGAAACUCCAAGUGAUGAUGUCCAAUAAGCCCAUCAAUUGAAUAGAAAGAAGGAAAAUAUUACUUCCUUGUCGUUUUGAUAUUUCGCAAUACUUGGUGGGUUCUGGGAACACUGCAAAAG
rnacentral:lncRNA from 1 species